UACGGAGGGUGCAAGCGUUACUCGGAAUCACUGGGCGUAAAGGGUGCGUAGGCUGACUUUUAAGUCAGGCGUGAAAUCCAAUGGCUUAACCAUUGAACUGCGCUUGAAACUGGGAGUCUAGAGUUCAGAAGGGGCAGAUGGAAUUAGUGGUGUAGGGGUAAAAGCCGUAGAUAUCACUAGGAAUAUCAAAAGCGAAGGCGAUCUGCUGGGAUGAUACUGACGCUGAGGCACGAAAGCGUGGGGAGCAAACAGG
rnacentral:rRNA from 1 species